rnacentral:rRNA from 1 species
AGAGUUGUAUCCUGGCUCAGGAUGAACGCUAGCGGCAGGCCUAAUACAUGCAAGUCGAGCGGCAGCACGGGAGCAAUCCUGGUGGCGAGCGGCGCGCGGGUGCGGAACACGUAUGCAACCUACCCGGUACAGGGGUAUAUCCAGGAGAAAUUCUGAGUAAUCCCCCAUAAGAUCGCAGAGUGGCAUCACUUUUCGAUGGAAGGAUUUAUCCGGUACCGGUUGGGCAUGCGUCUGAUUAGCUAGUUGGUGAGGUAACGGCUCACCAAGGCGACGAUCAGUAGCUGGUCUGAGAGGAUGAUCAGCCACACUGGCACUGAGACACGGGCCAGACUCCUACGGGAGGCAGCAGUAGGGAAUAUUGGACAAUGGGCGAAAGCCUGAUCCAGCCAUGCCGCGUGCAGGAAGAAGGCCCUCUGGGUUGUAAACUGCUUUUAUCUGGGGAUAAACCUAUUCUAUACGGAUAGCUGAAGGUACCAGAUGAAUAAGCACCGGCUAACUCCGUGCCAGCAGCCGCGGUAAUACGGAGGGUGCAAGCGUUGUCCGGAUUCAUUGGGUUUAAAGGGUGCGUAGGCGGGCCUAUAAGUCAGUGGUGAAAGCUCAGGGCUCAACUCUGGAUGUGCCAUUGAUACUGUAGGUCUUGAGAGCAGACGAGGUAGCUGGAAUGUGUAGUGUAGCGGUGAAAUGCAUAGAGAUUACACAGAACACCAAUUG